GGGAAAGAUAUUAAGAAAAAGGAGAAUAAUGAAACAAGAAAAAAGGUGAGAAUAAGGAGAAGAGAGGGAGGAAAGUCAGGAAGCCCCUUUGCAUCUCCCGAAGCAGACAGGUGCUGAGGGCCAUGAUCCCUCUCUCCUGCCCUGGAUCCCACAUCUCCACCUGUGUCCCAGCAUGUUCCCUGCCCCACAGAAGUGCUGGCUGCCCUGCCCACCCCAGAGCUAAGCCUGGCAGCUGUCAGAGGGGCUGGAGGGCCGAGCCCUGGCCUGGAUCUCUCGCUGCUCACACAGAGCAGCCGGGAGAGGGUGGCAGGUGAGCGAGGCACGGUCAUUGCUACAACAGAUGGUAGAGGCAUGACAUUACAUGGCAGGGCUAUUAUUUAUUGAGUGCUCGUGUUUGUCAUGGCUGAAGAUGACAUCUUAUUAAAGAGUCAUGACACUGGGUGAUUUUUUUAAGCCUAGGGGCCAAGAAGGCUAAUGAACAGGGAUAGCUCCAGGAAUAGAUGGAGGGAAGUGCUGUUUUCAGGUCACAGGCAAAGCUGACUAAUGUUUCACUGACCUGAUUUCUGGGUGAUUUCCAGGCACAUCUUGCUCCUGCUGAUUAGGGAUGGAUACUUCUUGCCAUGGCCUGACAGUGCUGGCUCAGGGGGAAGCUGUUCUCUCAAGAGAACCCAUGGCAAGGGAGCAAAGCCUGAGAUGUGUCAUGAGAAAGCUCCCACCCACAGACAGCCAAACAGCAGCACUCCUGCAAACAAGGGCAUGUGGCAGCUGCGAGAAGCAUCCAGCAGCUUGGAGGAAUUCACCCACACCGUUAGCCCCUCAAUACCCUCCCAAACUGCUUUGCCUGCUGCUCUCCAAGAGACAGGACCUGGGUCUGGCUCAGCAAGGAUUCUAUCCAGACUUUCUUCCAAAGAGGAGAUCAGGAUGGUGCUGGGGAUGAGGCAGAGCUAUGAUCUGCUCCUGGAGGAUGAUGCUUUGCUGCUCUGUGCCUCAGUUUCCCUGCUCAGCCUUGUGAUUCCUGACCAUUUUUGUGAUGGGCCGGGAGUGUUAAUUAUAGACAUGCGAUUUAACAGCCUGACCUUUUGUUACUGCAGCUUGUCCUUCAAUACUCAUUUCAGCCUGAAGAUGUGGGAGUUGUUUCCAGAUGCCUUAACCUGGCUGGAGCAAUAACCAGAAAAAUAAAUCCCUUCAUUUCUCACUGA